AGGAAAUCCGAAUGCUCGACGAGGCUUUGAGGACUGCUGUUCUCUAUCAAGUGCUGGACACGUUUCCUGCAGCAUCGACGACGGUUCAGAAACUUUUAAGGCUGUCGGGGCAAAUCCUGGCCGCACAUUCUUCCACAGAGAUGGAUCCGUCUUCCAUUCAGGCAGAAGUUGAGGAUGUCAUAGCUGCCACUGAUAGAAUAAUCAAAGUGGCACAUUUCCUCUCAGCUGUCGCCGUUGAUGCAAAGACUUUGGAGAGUGUGGAGAACUCACGAGUCGGCCUCGCCAGACUCCGAGCUCAGCUCGCACCACUCUCUCUGGAGCUGGCAGAUAACUCCAUGCAAACCGUUCAAAAGAUUCACGAGGCCUGUGAAAAGUGGGAGGAGGAGACUAGUCAGCUUCAGGAAGCCCUUGGUGAUGUAAUGGAUGUGAGGGAGUUUACCAGUGUUGCUAUCGACGAGGUGGUCAGUGAUCAGCACGCCUGUGACUCAGCGCACAGACAGCAAAGCUGUGAACUGUUUAAACAACACGCUGCAAACCUUUUUUGUCACAUGAAGCUGGUGGUUGACUCGGUGAGGAGGCACUUGGACAGAAGUGAUGACCCCAUCCACAGGAACGGGCUACUGGUCCUGCUGAAACAGGUUCAGUCAUCUGGAGCCAAGGCGAGUGAGUCGGUCAGAGACAUGCUUUUAGAUUCCAGUCUAAAUGGGGAGGUAUAUUCUACUUUUUUAGAUAAUGUGUCCGCUGCUAUUAAGCAUUUAAAAGUGCUCAGAAAGGGGCUGGACGGCCAACAGCACCCACAUCUCCUGAGCCCGCUGCGAAAACAGGCACGUUGGCCCGAAAUCUCCCAGCCAUGGGUUCCUGUCAGAGACUCCAGUGAACUGAACCCGGGUCAGAUGAUGAGAGGCGGUUCUGUUUUAGAAGUCCUGGAGAAGGAUUCUCACAGCGAACAUGAGGAGGAACCCUCACAUGAGGAAAGCAUAGAAGCAGAACUGGAUCAUAAACAUGAUUUGCAGAUCCCAGCUGUCCCUGUUGAGCUGAAACUGAUCCACAAACCUCUUGAAUUUGACCUUUUGCCCCUCUUGUAUGAAGUCGUGACUGUGACUAAAGGGAAAGAUGUGACACUGCUGAACCGGGCCUGCACUGGCGUUUUAGAGCUGUCAAACUGCUACGCCCAAGCUGCAAAGGAAGCCUCGGCCAUUGUGGACGCGGUCGAUUGUCAAACGUUGGAAAGUCUUAGAGCGGAGCUGGUGUCGCUGACUCCGCUGCUCGUCCAGACGGCUCAAGAGACAGCGAUGAGCUCGGCGAGGAGCACGGAGGGCGUCUACAGACACAGCGCGCGCUUUUCUGACCUCAUAACCAACACCAGGAAGCUUUUGCUGCCAGUAGCUGGCACCUGGUACAGCGCCGUUUACGCCGAGCUGCGAGGAAAUCCGCCGACAAUGGCCGCCACUGUCGCGCAGCGACUAAACGAAGCGAUGACUUCAUGCGCCGAGGCAGUCCAGCUCUUGACGUCGUCUGAUUUCACCUCCCGGAGCGACGGUCAUGAAACAUUGAGCGUUUUACACAACAAGCUGAACAAAGCCCAAAACAACACAAAGUAUCUGAUUGAGUUUUCCACCUCAAUGGAAGGACCGGUGGAUCAGCUCGAGGGCCUCUGCAUCCUCUGGGGCCUCUCUGUUCAGGUGCUGCUGCAUUCUCUAGACAAGAUUUUGGGAACGUCCACCACAAUGAACCCGUUGACCCCCCGGAAACGUGUGGCCGCGUUGUCUGAGAUUUCGCUUCGGAUCCAAGAGGCGGCGAGGUUAACCUGCCAGAAUUGUAGAAGUGCGUACAAAUCCAAACAGUUAGCAGGAUACCAGAAUGAAGUAAAACGCCUGACUGAAGCGUAUCUUGAAGCUGCAGAAGAGCUCGACACGAUGUCCAGUGUCACGCAGCUUGCGAAAUCAGAUUUCUUCCAGAGACAUCUUUUGAUUAAAAUUAGAGUGCUUUCCUCUCAUUUAAGCAAGGCAAAUAAAGAUUAUGACGCUGCACUUCAAAAUAUUGUCAGUGUUGCUCUUUUUUCUGCUGAACACGGAGAGAGCAACACGGAGGAUUUGGAGCCAAAAUUUGACACCGCUGCUCAAACGUUGUUUGAAAAUGUCAAAACUGCAACCAAAAGAGUCGAGGACAGCGUGCACUUCAUCCGCAACCCACACGCUCGUUCUCACCUGAGGUCCAUCAACGACCACCUGUCUUUUCAGAUCUCAGAUAUAAUCAGCAGGGCGAGGCUCAUGGUAGAGACUCACUAUAUUUGUGACACGCUCAGUCUGGACGUGCAGAUCCAGUGCUGGUCAGCCAAAGCUCAUUAUGUGGCCGAGGAGAUCAGGAAACAGGAAGGGAUUCACCAAGAGGUCAAAGAGCUCAUCAGGGCCGGUCUGCAGGGCAGAAGCCUUGAGGAUGACAAAGAAGUGUCAGCCACGGCACCAUCUACAGAAAAAGAAGGGGGAUUUCCCCGUGACAUGACAAUGACGGCGUGGCACAGAGGCGACACGGAAAGCAUAGAUGCUGCAGGAACAAAUACUAACGCGACCACUGUGGUGAGAUAUGGAGCUGGAACUAUUGAAAAUGUAGGUAUCUCAUCAAGGUACACUUUUCAAUGUGAUUACCUUUCUGUCACACUAAAUCAUGGCCCUACACUUCUCUAUAGGACGGUUUGGGGUCCAGCGGACCCAAAGAGACUCCUUCGCUGACCUCCACGGCCCUUUUUCUGAAGCAAGAAAGUGACAGCUGGGAUCCCAAGGACAACAGAAUUGUCCAGAUGACCAGGAAGAUGGCUGACACACUCUGUUACAUGACUCAAUACCUGAAGAAGAGAGGCCCAAUACUGAAUAAGGAGGCGUUUGUCACUGCAGCAAAAAAUGUGAUCUCAGACUGCCAGUCAGUCACCCAGUUCAUCCGAGUCAUUGCCAACCACUGCCUGGAUAAACAGUGUACAAGCGAACUCUCCCUCAUAGUUGAGCAAAUUCUCACCAUCACUAACCAGCUCAGCAUCAUCUCCAGUGUGAACGCUGUAACACCCGGGUGCAGAUCAUCGGAUGAGAUCCUGGUGAAGAACGCUCAAAAUCUACUGCAGACGGUCCUGCGUGGGGUUCGCGCUGCAGAGUCAGCCUGCAUCACAGGGUUGAAGCAGCCCGAGCCAGACUCAGAUGGUGCUGAGGCCACGGCCUUGUGUUUCCAGUGGAGGAGCAAACUGGAGAUCCAUCGAGCCCAGCAGACUUCGAACACAGAGACCG